CAGUCAAUGAGGAAGGUUGGAUAUGUUAAUAGCUAUAUUCAUUUGACGUUAGCUGCAGAGGUAAGCACCGGCUAACUCCGUGCCAGCUAGCCGCGGUAAUACGGAGGGUGCGAGCGUUAAUCGGAAUUACUGGGCGUUAAAGCGCAUGCAGGUGGUUUGUUAAGUCAGAUGUGAAAGCCCGGGGCUCAACCUCGGAAUUGCAUUUGAAACUGGCAAACUAGAGUACUGUAGAGGGGGUAGAAUUUCAGGUGUAGCGGUGAAAUGCGUAGAGAUCUGAAGGAAUACCGGUGGCGAAGGCGGCCCCCUGGACAGAUACUGACACUCAGAUGCGAAAGCGUGGGGAGCAAACAGGAUUAGAUACCCUGGUAG
rnacentral:rRNA from 1 species